GCGUGGAAAGUCAGAUGUGAAAUCCCAGAGCUUAACUCUGGAACUGCAUCCGAUACUNCCAUGCUAGAGUAUUGGAGGGGUAACUGGAAUUCUCGGUGUAGCAGUGAAAUGCGUAGAUAUCGAGAGGAACACUCGUGGCGAAAGCGAGUUACUGGACAGUUACUGACGCUGAGGCUCGAAGGCUAGGGGAGCAAAAGGGAUUAGAUACCCCUGUAGUCCUAGCAGUAAACGGUGCACGCUUGGUUUGAGGGGAAUCGACCCCCUUCGAGCCGGAGCUAACGCGUUAAGCGUGCCGCCUGGGAAGUACGGUCGCAAGACUAAAACUCAAAGAAAUUGACGGGGACCCGCACAAGCGGUGGAGUAUGUGGCUUAAUUCGAUGCAACGCGAAGAACCUUACCUAGGCUUGACAUGCAUUUCUAAAUACGUGAAAGCGUAUGACUCUUCGGAGGACUUGCACAGGUGCUGCAUGGCCGUCGUCAGCUCGUGUCGUGAGAUGUUGGGUUAAGUCCCGCAACGAGCGCAACCCCUGUGAUUAGUUACCAGCGCGUUAUGGCGGGGACUCUAAUCAGACUGCCCAGAUCAACUGGGAGGAAGGUGGGGACGACGUCAGGUCAGUAUGGCCCUUACGCCUAGGGCUGCACACGUACUACAAUGCUCAGCACAAUGAGAACCGAGACCGCGAGGUGGAGGAAAUCUACAAAACUGGGCUCAGUUCGGAUUGGAGGCUGCAACUCGCCUCCAUGAAGCUGGAAUCGCUAGUAAUGGCACAUCAGCUACGGUGCCGUGAAUACGUUCCCGGGUCUUGUACACACCGCCCGUCACAUCAUGGAAGUCGGUCGCACCCGAAGUGCCUGCGCCAACCGCAAGGAGGCAGGGCCCUAAGGUGUAGCUGGUAACUGGGAUGAAGUCGUAACAAGGUAACCAAGGGCGAA
rnacentral:rRNA from 1 species